rnacentral:rRNA from 1 species
UGAGGAAUCUUCCGCAAUGGGCGAAAGCCUGACGGAGCAACGCCGCGUGGAGGAAGACGGCCUUCGGGUUGUAAACUCCUUUUCUGUGGGACGAUUAUGACGGUACCACAGGAAUAAGGACCGGCUAACUACGUGCCAGCAGCCGCGGUAAUACGUAGGGUCCAAGCGCUAUCCGGAUUUACUGGGCGUAAAGCGUGCGUAGGCGGCGCGCCAAGUGAGACGCGAAAUUCUACGGCUCAACCGUAUGAACUGUGUCUCAUACUGGCGUGCUUGAGGACGGCAGAGGCAAGUGGAACUGGCGGUGUAGCAGUGAAAUGCGUAGAUAUCGCCAAGAACACCAAUGGCGAAGGCAGCUUGCUGGGCCGUUCCUGACGCUGAGGUACGAAAGCGUGGGGAGCGAACAGG